UUCUUCGUCUCUAGUUUCUUC
rnacentral:piRNA from 1 species